rnacentral:misc_RNA from 1 species
GAUGAAGAACGCAGCGAAAUGCGAUAAGUAAUGUGAAUUGCAGAAUUCAGUGAAUCAUCGAAUCUUUGAACGCACCUUGCACCCUUUGGCAUUCCGAAGGGUAUGCUCGUUUGAGUGUCAUUGUACUCUCACUCUCCCGAUGCUUUUGGAUCGGGAGUGGUGGACUUGGGUGUUGCUGCUUUGCUGUGGCUCGCCUCAAAUGGAGUAGUGCAACUCUUGGUUGGACAUAGUACGGCGUGAUAAGUGUCUUCGCCGGCGCCUCAUUAUAGAGGGUGGCCGAUCGGGAGCUCUGUGCUUCAAACCGUCUUCGGACAACAUCUGACAACUUGACCUCAAAUCGAGUAGGACUACCCGCUGAGCUUAAGCAUAUCAAUAAGCGGAGGA